ACGAUGGGAGCUUGCUCCCAGGCGUCGAGUGGCGGACGGGUGAGUAAUACUUAGGAAUCUACCCAGUAGCGGGGGACAACUCGGGGAAACUCGAGCUAAUACCGCAUACGCUCUACGGAGGAAAGCAGGGGAUCUUCGGACCUUGCACUAUUGGAUGAGCCUAAGUCGGAUUAGCUUGUUGGUGAGGUAAAGGCUCACCAAGGCGACGAUCCGUAGCUGGUCUGAGAGGACGAUCAGCCACACUGGGACUGAGACACGGCCCAGACUCCUACGGGAGGCAGCAGUGGGGAAUAUUGGACAAUGGGGGCAACCCUGAUCCAGCAAUGCCGCGUGCGUGAAGAAGGCCUGCGGGUUGUAAAGCACUUUCAGUAGAGAAGAAAAGCCUAGGGUUAAUACCCCUGAGUCUUGACGUUACCUACAGAAGAAGCUCCGGCUAACUCCGUGCCAGCAGCCGCGGUAAUACGGAGGGAGCGAGCGUUAAUCGGAAUUACUGGGCGUAAAGCGCACGUAGGCGGCUUUGUAAGUCGGAUGUGAAAGCCCCGGGCUUAACCUGGGAAUGGCAUUCGAUACUGCAUAGCUAGAGUAUGGUAGAGGGAAGUGGAAUUUCCGGUGUAGCGGUGAAAUGCGUAGAUAUCGGAAGGAACACCGAUGGCGAAGGCAACUUCCUGGGCCAAUACUGACGCUGAGGUGCGAAAGCGUGGGUAGCAAACAGGAUUAGAUACCCUGGUAGUCCACGCCGUAAACGAUGAGAACUAGAUGUCGGGGAGGAUCUGCCUUUCGGUGUCGCAGCUAACGCGUUAAGUUCUCCGCCUGGGGAGUACGCCGGCAACGGUA
rnacentral:rRNA from 1 species